CCUACGGGCGGCAGCAGUGAGGAAUAUUGGUCAAUGGUCGAGAGUCUGAACCAGCCAAGCAGCGUGAAGGAUGAAUGUCCUGUGGGUCGUAAACCUCUUUUAUCAAGGAAUAAACCGCGGCACGUGUCCCCUUUUGCAUGUACCUUAUGAAUAAGCAUCGGCUAACUCCGUGCCAGCAGCCGCGGUAAUACGGAGGAUCCGAGCGUUAUCCGGAUUUAUUGGGUUUAAAGGGAGCGCAGAUGGGUUGUUAAGUCAGGUGUGAAAGUUUGCGGCUCAACCGUAAAAUUGCAAUUGAUACUGGCAGUCUUGAGUACAGUUGAGGUAGGCGGAAUUCGUGGUGUAGCGGUGAAAUGCAUAGAUAUCGCGAAGAACCCCGAUUGCGAAGGCAGCUUGCUAAACUGUGACUGACGUUGAGGCUCGAAAGUGUGGGUAUCAAACAGGAUUAGAUACCCUUGUAGUC
rnacentral:rRNA from 1 species